GGGCGAAUUCCAAGCUUCAGGCCUAACACAUGCAAGUCGCGGGAGAAGCUAUCUUUCGGGUGGUGGAGACCGGCGCACGGGUGAGUAACGCGUGGGAACGUGCCCUUCGGUGGGGGACAACAGCUGGAAACGGCUGCUAAUACCGCAUACGUCCGGGAGGAGAAAGGCUCUUUUGAGAGAUCAUUUGGGCUGCCGGGGGAUUGGCCCGCGUUAGAUUAGGUAGUUGGUGGGGUAAUGGCCUACCAAGCCUUCGAUCUAUAGCUGGUCUGAGAGGAUGAUCAGCCACACUGGGACUGAGACACGGCCCAGACUCCUACGGGAGGCAGCAGUGGGGAAUAUUGCGCAAUGGAGGCAACUCUGACGCAGCCAUGCCGCGUGGGUGAAGAAGGCCUUCGGGUUGUAAAGCCCUUUCGACGGGGAAGAUGAUGACGGUACCCGUAGAAGAAGCCCCGGCUAACUUCGUGCCAGCAGCCGCGGUAAUACGAAGGGGGCAAGCGUUGUUCGGAAUUACUGGGCGUAAAGGGCGCGUAGGCGGAUGUAUUAGUUAGAGGUGAAAGCCUUGGGCUCAACCCAAGAAUUGCCUUUGAUACUAUAUAUCUA
rnacentral:rRNA from 1 species